CAGCAGCCGCGGUAAAACGUAGGUGGCAAGCGUUGUCCGGAAUUAUUGGGCGUAAAGGGCUCGCAGGCGGUUUCUUAAGUCUGAUGUGAAAGCCCCCGGCUCAACCGGGGAGGGUCAUUGGAAACUGGGAAACUUGAGUGCAGAAGAGGAGAGUGGAAUUCCACGUGUAGCGGUGAGAUGCGUAGAGAUGUGGAGGAACACCAGUGGCGAAGGCGACUCUCUGGUCUGUAACUGACGCUGAGGAGCGAAAGCGUGGGGAGCGAACAGGAUUAGAGACCCCAGUAGUCCCUGUCUCUUAUAC
rnacentral:rRNA from 1 species